ensembl:lncRNA
CCGGGACACAGCCCUUGCUCCCUGGGUUACACACCGCCUGUGACCGCCGUUGCGCUACAGUGGCCGGGUUGAGUGGUCGUCACCGCAGAGAUCCCACAGCCAGCACAGCUGAGUCUGUUUCUUAGCCGGCUCGUUACAGCAAAGGCCUGUGGAUGCUUAGGGCCCUGAUGUGUCGGCUGUACCAGCGCUCAAGGAGGGCCACUGAAAUUACCCCGAGAUGGGGAUGGAAAGACGUCGCAGAGGCGUUCACCAUCAGCCUACACCGAGGCUCAAAUCGGGCCAGGUCGACCACUUCUCAGAGCCGCCCUUGGCAAUCACUGUUCCAUUCUUUGAUUCUGAAAGUCUGACUACCUUGGAAACGUCGUCUGGAGCCCUUUGGGACGCUGGAGAAACUUAAAGAACCAGCUCCGCUGGUGGAUUCUCAGGUGAGCGUUGCUGGAAGGAUCCAGGAGACGGAUGUGCGGAGGAGAGCCAAGGUGGUCCAGCUGAGGCCACUGUAGGUCAGUCACCCCCGGUCACCCCACCAACUCCUACAGACGUAUGCGCGAGCACAGGGAAGGUCUGCCUGGCCCAGCCCAGAUCGGUGAGUUCAGCCCUAACCCCCGG